rnacentral:rRNA from 1 species
CGAGGGUUCAACUGUCUCUUUUUUCCGGUCAUGAAACUGAUCUGCCCGUGCAGAAGCGGGCAUACUUACACAAGACGAGAAGACCCUAUGGAGCUUUAGACACCAACCAACCACGAAAAGCGACCCUGAUUGGAGCCCCAAACAACGUGAUUCUGGCAUAAGUGUCUUCGGUUGGGGCGACCACGGGAGAUAGCACAGCUCCCGAGUGGAUGGGGGACACCCUAAAACCCAGAGCCACAGCUCUAAGUCACAAAACAUUGACCAAUAAUGAUCCGGCUUAAUGCCGACCAACGGACCAAGUUACCCUAG